UACGUAGGGGGCAAGCGUUGUUCGGAAUUACUGGGCGUAAAGGGCGCGUAGGCGGCACGGCAAGUCAGGAGUGAAAGCCCGGGGCUCAACCCCGGAAUGUCUUUUGAAACUGCCGAGCUAGAGUGCGGAAGAGGCAACUGGAAUUCCCAGUGUAGCGGUGAAAUGCGUAGAUAUUGGGAAGAACACCAGAGGCGAAGGCGGGUUGCUGGGCCGACACUGACGCUGAGGCGCGAAAGCCAGGGGAGCAAACGGG
rnacentral:rRNA from 1 species